UACGUAGGUGACAAGCGUUGUCCGGAUUUACUGGGCGUAAAGAGCGCGCAGGCGGUCGUUCAAGUCGAGUGUGAAAGCCCCCGGCUCAACUGGGGAGGGUCACUCGAUACUGAUCGACUCGAAGGCAGGAGAGGGAAGUGGAAUCCCGGUGUAGUGGUGAAAUGCGUAGAUAUCGGGAGGAACACCAGUGGCGAAGGCGACUUCCUGGCCUGUUCUUGACGCUGAGGCGCGAAAGCUAGGGGAGCAAACGGGG
rnacentral:rRNA from 1 species